CGGCUUUCACUGUGCCCCGGGCCCGCGCCGCCCGGCCGUCCGGUGACCGUCCGCACCCCGCAGCGCGCCCGACGGCCCGGCGCUGGAAGUUCGGGCCCGAGGAGCCCGGCCGCUAGCCCCGGGAUGCACGUGAACUUGGAGAAAGUCGCGGGGCGCGCCGGCGCGGACCUCCGCUGCAGGGCGUGGGCGUCCCCGGCCCCGCGCGCUUUCGUUUUCGUCCGGGACAAAGGUCCCUCGCGGCGCAGGUCGCGGACGUGGAGAUCGUGUCCUGCGGGCCACUCUGCGGGGAGGUCCGGUCGUUCAACACAGGGAAGCCGGAGCCAGGAGAAGUGGAGCAGCGCGGUCCGAGGCGCGGUGCGGGACCAGGGGAGUGGGGCCUGGCCGUGCGCUUCGCCCGCGCCGUCCCGGAGCUGUCCCACCCUGCCAAGAGUUGUGGGAGAUGGCACCGCUUUGCUCUCUGCCCUUUCGCCGCGUGAAGGAGAGAAUCACUUGGAACCCACGACUCAGACCGAUGGCCGAGGGCCUGUGCAGCCGUGGGCACGGUAGCGCAGCGCCGGCUGCGUCCGGGCGCGUCCCUCCGACAAGGGCAGAGUGCCCCUGUCUCGAUUGGGUUCACUCUUGAUUCUCGAGGCCGACACCGUCCUCGUCCGUGACAGACCCCAUGUAGCGGAUGUACGUCUGGCAAUGGCUGGCUUUUCUGGAACCGACUUGGAGAUCAGCCUGGUGUUGGCGGUUGCCUUUUGUGAGGACCUACUGUGUGUGCCAGCCAAGCUCUUGGGAAUUCCACAUUCAUUCAUUUGCUCUGAUGUCAGCUUCAGGCGGUAGCUGUAAACGGCCCCUUUUGAAGAUACAAAACUGAGGCUCAGAGAGGCCAGGUUCCUGAAGACCACACAGCCCGGAAGGUUCUCUGUGGCCUGUUUGGCUCUGGACCGCGGGCUCCUCCCCAGGGCUAGCAGGUCUGCCACUAGAGCCUGUGUCGACUUGAGCUCACCUGCACCCUGACUGCACUGCCUGCCCUGGUAGCUGUCUGCUCCCCAAGUCCCUACUGGAGCUAUUUUGGCCCAAGUGAAGUCGCAGAGCUGGGGACCUACCCCUGGUGUGUGCAUCUGGCAACUCAGGGAGGCUGGAGGACAUGGACCAGAGGCUCGCUGGCCGACUUCUGACUCCUCCUGACCUAUUGCGGGCCCCUCCGAGGGCUUGGGGGCCCGGCACAGCAUCGCCCAGGGUCAGGUCCCAGUGCUUCCCACGACAUCUCUGCACAUACAUUGAGGGGUGAUUUGUGCACGAUUCGUUAGCAACUGGCGUUUGCAAGGAGGAUGUUUCUCCUACGUGUGACCUCUGAGAGAGGCCAAGUUGAAUGCUGAAGACCAGUGUGGACAAGGCAGGGCUGAGCCCUCUGGGGGUGCGGGUGGGCUGUGUGCCGUGGGCCUGGGCCCUGAAGCUUGGCUGACAUCAGAGUUCCUGCUGGUGGCCCAAGGCCGGCCCUCAGCUGUGUCCACGCAGGCCCCAGCCCUGGCAAGUUGGCCAGCUGUCAGACAAGAGGCUGGGAGAAAUGUCUCCAGGCACCAGGGUGCAAUGACUUGUCUUAUGUCCUCGAAGUGCCCUGGGGGGUGGCCAGCAGUGGACGCAACUGUCUGCUGAGCCCCACUGUGCGUGGGCACAGCACGUGCAUCGUCUCUAAUCAUGCGUGUGAAUCUGAGGAGGUGACAUCGCUGUCCCUUUAUUACAGAGGAGGAGACUGAGGCUCAGAGAGCUCCUGUGCCCUGGAACUCUGAUUUCUGAAGCCAGCGUCAGCUAGAGGAAUAUCGACCUAGGCUAUCUGCAAAAGGGGGGCCUCAGCAGCUGGGCCUGUGGGCGUUCAGCAUGCCACCCACAGUAGUGCCCCUCUUGAGCGCCAGCCGGGCUGUGCUCGCCGUCCAGAGGGAAGAGAGUGGGUGGGAGUGUCGUCGGCUCCCCCGUGCUGUUGGAGGGUCCCUGGUCUGUGGUCUUUCCUGGGUGGGCCCCAGAGCUGUUGCCCCGUCGCCCAGGUAUUGGGCAUUGUUCGAAGAGCGGAUGGGGACGUUUCCAUGCCUCCUGGGUGCCGGGCACCGUGCUAGCCCUGAGGGUCACACCACCACCUAAGAGGUGGUCCCUGCCGUGGAGCUGCCUGCCUGUGGGGAGACAGGGAGUGCGAGCGUCUGUGAGCUGAUUUCAAGGGACCCCCAGCCUAUUGCUAGAGCUGACCUAUUGCUCCCGAUCCAGGAGGCCCCCCUGGGGGAGAACAUGGCUGGUCCCAGAGCACCCCCAAGAAAGUGCACACCUGUCGUGGCCUUCAAAAGACGUUCCAGGACCACACGGCCAGGUGGAUGGUCUUUGCCCUGCGUCUGGGUGGUGAGGCAGCCCAGGAGGUCUUACCCCUUCUUCCCGGCCACCCUGGUCCCUGGCUGACAUCUGGAGCUUGGACAACUAUGUCACCCUCAGGCCCCGCACCGGCUCCCGACCUGCCCGUCUCCGUCAGAGCGCAAGGCCCAGCUGUGCCCCCCGGUGCGUGAGUAGCAUCUCCGCUGACGGUUGCUUUUCAAGGGCCCCACUGCUGCCCGCGGCCAGGGCCAGUGCACGGCGACCCCCUGGGCCUGUAUACCCACCCGUCUUUCAAGUGGGAUUGGUCUUGAUCCCGGGUUUUCGCCCUGCACAGGCUGGGAGGGGUGGCCGUGGCUGGACCCAGAGCAUCGCCUCUGGUCUCCGCCUUACAUCUGGGGUUCUGAGUGAGAUGCUGUCUGCUGGGGCCGUGCGGAGGGGGCUCCCCAGAGGGGACGUGAGGUGGGCAAGCAGGACAGGAGUCCUGAGGCUUGGGAAGUGGCCGGUGCUGCAGGGGGUCGGGAGGGCUCUGGCCCUGCGUCCCUGGGGUGGGUCUUCCCCGUGUCCCUCGGCAGCCACCCCUGUGCCCCCUGCACUGGACAGGAAGGAGGUGCCGGCCUGGACCAUGGGGUGGGCUGUGCUGGGAUGGCCCCAGAACACAGGACGGCGCCUUGGGCCACCUGGCCGGAAGCUGCCCCGCCCUCAGGCCAGUGAGGACACAUACCCCGUCAGCCAGGAGGGCGUCAGGGCCAGUGUCUCGGACAUAAGCCUUCCCAGGGACCGCCCGGAGCCCCCCAAAGGGCUGACAGGGCUUCUGGCAACCAGGUGCCUGGCAGCUCGGGCGCGAGGAUGCUUCUGAAGAGGGUGUUGCCUGCCUCUCUCCCUGGCCCGGCCCUCCAGGCUGAGUCUGCUUCCCAGGUGGACUUCCUAAUCCUGCCGGGCCGCCCUGCCCUCCUCGCCGCCUUUGUCUUCCUGGCGCCGUCCGCCCUCUUGUGUGCGAGGCUGAGGCCCGGCGCGGGGAGGGGACCGCUGCCCUCUGGCCCCGCGCGGCCUUGGCCGUGGCCUCCCCGGGCUUGGCACCCGCCGACGUCUCGGUGAGGCGUCUGGGAGUCCUGACCCUGCCGCCCCAGACCUCCCCGCCAAGCGGGCGGAGACACUGCAGACCACCCCCAGGAGAGCCGUUGUGAAAGCCGCACCCGCGGAGGGAGUCCCUGGCGGCCGGUGUGGACAGUUCUAGAAAUGACAGGGCGGGGGGAGUGGGCCCCCGGACACGCCACGCACGGAGGCAGCCCCGGGCCUCUGCCGGCCUUCUCACCCGCUUUCCUGCCUGAGGGCCUCGGGGCUCCGGGGCUCCCGGUGUUCAGUCGGGCUUCCAGUGCCCCCUGUCCUUAGGAAGCAGGGGCGGGGGCUUCCUGGGGGAGGUGAGCUCCCUGCGGGGAGAGGCGGCGGCGCUCUGCAGCUGCGCUUCCCCUGCGGCCUGGGCCACAGAGCAGGGUGAACCUCAACGCCCCCGCAGACCAGACCCGGAGACCUCAGGCCCCCAGAGCGCUGGCCAGGCCGGGAGCACCAGCACCUCCGUCAGCGCGGAGCCCUCUGCCUCCUGCCGCGCCCGCUGCUCUUGAGCCGGCACAGUGUGAAGCAGCGCCGCCCGACGGCACCCGGUGAUCUCAGGGGAAGCGGUGCACAGAGCAGCCCCAGGGCGUCCAGGGCGUCCAGGGAGUCUUGGCUGCAGGGCCUGGAGGGCGGUGGAGAGGAGACGCCACUGCCCCAGGAGCCAGCACAGGGCAGGGCCCCGGCGGCCGUGGCAGGUGGACGGGGAGCCGCCGGGCGCCAGUGCUCGCCGGCAGGGCCCCGCGACAAGGUCCUCCGAGGGCUGCCCGUGGGCUCUCUAGAGGAGGUUCACGGAAACAUCCGCGUAAAGAAGCAGGGGCUUUGAGGAAAGUGCGUGGUUUCACAGGGACUGCGCCGGUUUCUCUGGCAGCAUGGGGCGUGCCAGGUGGACUGAGGGCAAGUUCUGCCCUGUGUUCUCUGGGUGACCAAGGUCAGGUCCUCACUGGACAGCACACUUGUAGAAGAGCGCACAGUAGGGCCUCAGGAGCGGCGGGGUGGCUUCCCCAGACACCUAUGGCCCAGCCAAGCCUUCCAGGCUGGGACAGUCACGGGACGAGGCCCAGCUUUUUCCCAGACAGCCUCGCCUCGCAGUUCCCGGAGAGAACAUUCCGUCACCACGAAGUGGGGUUUGCUCAGCUCCCCCACCCCGGCCCGGGGAAACCCAGCCAAGGACGGGAUGGUGUAAUGCCCAGACCAGAGUCACGGGUCUACACGCCAGGCCAGGCCCAGAGCCUCCCGGGGGGCCAGGGAGCUCCGCAGCAGAAGGGCCCUCCUGAGGGGCUGCUGCCAGGUGGGGCUGCCCCAGAACACGGUUUCACACCGGGCAUUUUUAAUGAUGUGGUUGCAUCUGGUCCCCACUCUCUCCCUCCCUCUCCUCGCCUUGUGACCCAGAAUGAGGCUUGAACUGAGAAUAUUUUCAGAUAAAUACACGCCUUUGAGGUUAAAACUGUUGCCUAAUGGUUAAGCGCCAGAUGCAGACACCCACGGGCUCAGGAAAGGCUCUGCCUCCUGGCUCUUCCCUUCGGACUCUGAGCAAACCCUGCAGCAUGAAGAGCAGCUUCGCUCGGUGGUUCCCCCCCCCCCACCUGGCACAGAGGCACCUGGACCUUCCUCCCGACAGCCCUGGCAUCUUUGCCCUACUUUACAGAGGAAACGGCGGAGGCCAGAGGUGCUGAUUAACUUUUCCCGAGGCCCAUCGCUGGCUGGGGCCAAAGCAGGGGUCAGAACUAUGGCCUGGCGGCCCCCAGAACCAUCUAUCCCCACCCCCACCCCAUGCCCAUGGCCCCCAUGGGUGCAGGUAUGUCUGCAGAGCAGGGCUGGAUCCCAUUGCCUGGGCCUCCCUGGCCAGCACCAGGCCCCCAGCUUCCUGGAUGCUAGGACUCUUGUGGGCUUUCAGACUCACACAUCUGUGGGCGGUGACACUCGGCCCCCGGUACGUGUCUGGCCCCUUCCCUGGGGAGUGGACAUUUCCCGUGCCUGGCCACCUUCCACCUAUGAGCUUGGAGCUCUCUGGGGACAGGAGAGCGGGGAGCCAGGGGCGGGGCACAGACUCCCAGGAUGGGAGACCCCGACCCAGAGCAUGUGGGCGUCUGUCUCGGGGAGGCUGGGCAGGAAGGGAACCAACAAGAGAGCACCUUGGGCCGCUGGGAAGGAAGGCAGGCCUGGGGUGGACCCCAGGGGGCUGGGGCAGGGGCUCCUGUCUGGAGGCACCACUUCCCCACGUGUGUGGCCUGCGCCGCCUAGAGGUGUGCAGGGCCAUGGGAAGAGCCUGGGGUCAGAAAUCCGGAUUCCAGUUCUAGUUUUGCCCCUCUGUCCCUGAGGGGUGCUCCUGGGGGCAAUGAAGCCACUGGGCCCCAUGCUCAGCUGAGCUGUUGGAACCUGAGGCCAAAGGAGAAGUUAGUAACCAUCCGUUGUGCCCUUAUUUAAGUUUGAUAUUCUUGUACCAU